GAUGAACGCUGGCGGCGUGCCUAAUACAUGCAAGUCGAGCGAACAGACGAGGAGCUUGCUCCUCUGACGUUAGCGGCGGACGGGAGAAUCACACGUGUAUCACCUACCUAUAUGACUGGGAUCACUUCGAGAAACCGGCUCUAAUACCGGAUAAUAUCUUGAACCGCAUGGUUCAAUGGUGAAAGACGGUUUUUGUGUCACUUAUCGCUGGAUCCGGGCCGGAUUAGCUAGUUGGUACGGUCACGGCUUACCACGGCAACGAUGCGUAGCCGACCUGAGGGGGUGAUCGCCCACAUGGGAACGGAGACACGGUCCUGACGACUACGGGAGGCAGCAGUAGGGAAUCUGCCGCAAUGGGCGAAAGCUUGACGGAGCAACGCCGCGUGAGAGAUGAAGGCCUUCGGAUCGUAAAACUCGGUUACGAGUGAAGAACAAAUGUGGAAGUAACUAUGCACGUCUUGACGGUACCUAAUAAGAAAGCCACGGCUAACUACGUG
rnacentral:rRNA from 1 species